GCAUGCGGCAUGCUAUACAUGCAGUCGAGCGGACUUAAAAAGCUUGCUUUUUAAGUUAGCGGCGGACGGGUGAGUAACACGUGGGCAACCUGCCUGUAAGACUGGGAUAACUUCGGGAAACCGGAGCUAAUACCGGAUAAUCCUUUUCUACUCAUGUAAAAAAGCUGAAAGACGGUUUACGCUGUCACUUACAGAUGGGCCCGCGGCGCAUUAGCUAGUUGGUGAGGUAACGGCUCACCAAGGCGACGAUGCGUAGCCGACCUGAGAGGGUGAUCGGCCACACUGGGACUGAGACACGGCCCAGACUCCUACGGGAGGCAGCAGUAGGGAAUCUUCCGCAAUGGACGAAAGUCUGACGGAGCAACGCCGCGUGAGUGAUGAAGGUUUUCGGAUCGUAAAACUCUGUUGUUAGGGAAGAACAAGUACGAGAGUAACUGCUCGUACCUUGACGGUACCUAACCAGAAAGCCACGGCUAACUACGUGCCAGCAGCCGCGGUAAUACGUAGGUGGCAAGCGUUGUCCGGAAUUAUUGGGCGUAAAGCGCGCGCAGGCGGUCCUUUAAGUCUGAUGUGAAAGCCCACGGCUCAACCGUGGAGGGUCAUUGGAAACUGGGGGACUUGAGUGCAGAAGAGAAGAGUGGAAUUCCACGUGUAGCGGUGAAAUGCGUAGAGAUGUGGAGGAACACCAGUGGCGAAGGCGACUCUUUGGUCUGUAACUGACGCUGAGGCGCGAAAGCGUGGGGAGCAAACAGGAUUAGAUACCCUGGUAGUCCACGCCGUAAACGAUGAGUGCUAAGUGUUAGAGGGUUUCCGCCCUUUAGUGCUGCAGCAAACGCAUUAAGCACUCCGCCUGGGGGAGUACGGCCGCAAGGCUGAAACUCAAGGAAUUGACGGGGGCCCGCACAAGCGGUGGAGCAUGUGGUUUAAUUCAAGCAACGCGAGAACCUUACCAGUCUUGACAUCUCCUGACAUCCUAAGAUAGACGUUCCCUUCCCGGGACAGAUGACAGUGUGCGUGGUGUCGUCAGCUCGUGUCGUGAGAUGUAGGAUGAGUGCUUCACACGCAACCAUGAUCUUAUUGCUAGCAUUACAUCGGUCACUCUAGUGACUGCGGGUGACAGACCGGU
rnacentral:rRNA from 2 species